rnacentral:rRNA from 1 species
UACGGAAGGGGCAAGCGUUGUUCGGAAUCAUUGGGCGUAAAGGGCGCGUAGGUGGCUCUGUGUGUCUACCGUGAAAGCGUACGGCUCAACCGUAUUUUGUCGGUAGAAACUGCAGGACUUGAGGCUGGGAGGGGCUGGUGGAAUUCCCUGUGUAGCGGUGAAAUGCGUAGAGAUGGGGGAGAACACUCGUGGCGAAGGCGGCCAGCUAGACCAGUUCUGACACUGAGGCGCGAAAGCGUGGGGAGCAAACAGG